UACGGAGGGGGCAAGCGUUAUUCGGAAUUAUUGGGCGUAAAGGGCGCGUAGGCGGCUAGAUGUGUCAAAGGUGAAAUCCCUCGGCUCAACUGAGGAACUGCCUUUGAAACUGUCUGGCUUGAGGCCGGGAGAGGGUAGCGGAAUUCCCAGUGUAGCGGUGAAAUGCGUAGAUAUUGGGAGGAACACCAGUGGCGAAGGCGGCUACCUGGACCGGUUCUGACGCUGAGGCACGAAAGCGUGGGUAGCAAACAGG
rnacentral:rRNA from 1 species